rnacentral:SRP_RNA from 1 species
GCUGGGCGUGGUGGUGCGCGCCUGUAGUCCCAGCUACUUAGGAGGCUGAGGCAGAAGAAUCACUUGAACCCAGGAGGCUGAGGUUGCAGUGAGCCAAGAUUGCACCACUGCACUCCAGCCUGGGCGAAAGAGCGAGACUCUGUCUCAA